AUUGAACGCUGGCGGCAGGCCUAACACAUGCAAGUCGAACGAGAGGCGGACGGGUGAGUAAUGUCUGGGAAACUGCCCGAUGGAGGGGGAUAACUAUUGGAAACGGUAGCUAAUACCGCAUACCAUCAGAUGUGCUCAGAUGGGAUUAGCUAGGAGGUGGGGUAACGGCUCAACUAGGCGACGAUCCCUAGCUGGUCUGAGAGGAAGACCAGCCACACUGGAACUGAGACACGGUCCAGACGCCUACGUGAGGCAGCAGUGGGGAAUAUUGCACGAUGGGCGCAAGCCUGAUGCAGCCAUGCCGCGUGUAUGAAGAAGGCCUUCGGGUUGUAAAGAACUUUCAGCGAGGAGGCGUUACUCGCAGAAGAAGCACCGGCUAACUCCGUGCCAGCAGCCGCGGUAAUAC
rnacentral:rRNA from 1 species